rnacentral:rRNA from 1 species
CAUGCAAGUCGAACGAUGAAGCCCAGCUUGCUGGGUGGAUUAGUGGCGAACGGGUGAGUAACACGUGGGUGAUCUGCCCUGCACUUCGGGAUAAGCCUGGGAAACUGGGUCUAAUACCGGAUAGGACCUUCUGCCGCAUGGUGGGGGGUGGAAAGGUUUUCCGGUGCAGGAUGGGCCCGCGGCCUAUCAGCUUGUUGGUGGGGUAACGGCCCACCAAGGCGACGACGGGUAGCCGGCCUGAGAGGGCGACCGGCCACACUGGGACUGAGACACGGCCCAGACUCCUACGGGAGGCAGCAGUGGGGAAUAUUGCACAAUGGGCGCAAGCCUGAUGCAGCGACGCCGCGUGAGGGAUGACGGCCUUCGGGUUGUAAACCUCUUUCAGUACCGACGAAGCGCAAGUGACGGUAGGUACAGAAGAAGCACCGGCCAACUACGUGCCAGCAGCCGCGGUAAUACGUAGGGUGCGAGCGUUGUCCGGAAUUACUGGGCGUAAAGAGCUCGUAGGCGGUUUGUCGCGUCGUCUGUGAAAACCCGCAGCUCAACUGCGGGCUUGCAGGCGAUACGGGCAGACUUGAGUACUGCAGGGGAGACUGGAAUUCCUGGUGUAGCGGUGAAAUGCGCAGAUAUCAGGAGGAACACCGGUGGCGAAGGCGGGUCUCUGGGCAGUAACUGACGCUGAGGAGCGAAAGCGUGGGUAGCGAACAGGAUUAGAUACCCUGGUAGUCCACGCCGUAAACGGUGGGCGCUAGGUGUGGGUUUCCUUCCACGGGAUCCGUGCCGUAGCUAACGCAUUAAGCGCCCCGCCUGGGGAGUACGGCCGCAAGGCUAAAACUCAAAGGAAUUGACGGGGG